GUUGCUUCAUAUGGUGAACUCUCUCUUAAAUUGAAGUGAGGGAUGUUCAAGUUUCCGAAGCAUAAAUGAAUAGUCAGUAUUAAACAGCAUGGUGUAAUUUCAAUUGCAUCUUGCUACCUGUCUCCUGCCACAUUA